CCGGGUCUCUACUUUUCUGCCUUCUCUUGAGGACACUGCCUGUCCACAGGAUGUCACUGCUGAAAGUAGUCACCUUCUUGUCCUUCUGGGCUCUUGGACUUGGGCUAUCAAAAUUGGAGCAGUCCCAGAUAUCCAUUACGACAGAAGUGAAGAAAAGUAUCGACAUGUAUUGCAAGAUAUCAAGUGCAAAUUUUGAAAAUGACAUCAUUCACUGGUACCGGCAGAAACCAAAUCAGGCUUUGGAGCAUCUGAUUUAUAAAAAGAAGAUAUGGCCAUUUACUACUGUGCUGGGUGGUACACACAUUACUAUUUUAGGGGGACUCACAGUACUAGAACUGUUGAGAUAA